UGGGGCGUGGUGCAGCGGGAGCAUACUGGCAUUUGAUACUAUGUUUGUCAAGUCACAACCCGGGUUCGGCUCCCAGCGCCUCAG
rnacentral:tRNA from 1 species